rnacentral:rRNA from 1 species
GAUGAACGCUGGCGGCGUGCCUAAUACAUGCAAGUCGAGCGAACAGAUGAGGAGCUUGCUCCUCUGACGUUAGCGGCGGACGGGUGAGUAACACGUGUAUAACCUACCUAUCAUACUGGGAUCACUUCGGGAAACCGGAGCUAAUACCGGAUAAUAUCUUGAACCGCAUGGUUCAAUAGUGAAUGACGGUUUUUCUGUCACUUAUAGAUGGAUCCGCGCCGCAUUAGCUAGUUGGUAAGGUAACGGCUUACCAAGGCAACCAUGCGUAGCCGAACUGAGAGAGUGAUAGGCCACACGGGAACGGGGACGCGGUCCAGACGACUGAGGGAGGCAGCAGUAGGGAAUCGGACGCAAUGGGCGAGAGCCUGACGGAGCAAGGGCGCGUGAGUGAUGAAGGUCUUCGGAGCGUAAAACUCUGUUAUUAGGGAAGAACAAAUGUGUAAGUAACUAUGCACGUCUUGACGGUACCUAAUCAGAAAGCCCCGGCUAACUACGUG